rnacentral:rRNA from 1 species
UACAGAGGUCUCAAGCGUUUGUUCGGAUUCAUUGGGCGUAAAGGGUGCGUAGGCGGCGCGGUAAGUCGGGUGUGAAAUCUCGGAGCUUAACUCCGAAACUGCAUUCGAUACUGCCCGUGCUUGAGGACUGGAGAGGAGACUGGAAAUUUACGGUGUAGCGGUGAAAUGCGUAGAUAUCGUAAGGAAGACCAGUGGCGAAGGCGGGUCUCUGGACAGUUCCUGACGCUGAGGCACGAAGGUCAGGGGGAGCAAACGGG